UCACCACUCAAGCCCUAGGCUUGGUCUUGGGCCACGCCAGCGAUGGCGGGCCCUAAACUUAGUGGCGGGCGCCGCUGGGUCCCGAGCGUAGUACAUCUCUCGCUGGGGGUCCUAGCGGCUGACGACCAACAACCCAAAUUUUUCAGG
rnacentral:misc_RNA from 1 species